GAUGAACGCUAGCGGCAGGCUUAACACAUGCAAGUCGAGGGGUAUAGGUUUUCGGACCUAGAGACCGGCGCACGGGUGCGUAACGCGUAUGCAAUCUACCUUUCACAGAGGGAUAGCCCAGAGAAAUUUGGAUUAAUACCUCAUAGUAUAGCAGUUUCGCAUGAAACCACUAUUAAAGUGCCAACGGUGAAAGAAGAGCAUGCGUCCCAUUAGCUAGAUGGUAAGGUAACGGCUUACCAUGGCUACGAUGGGUUGGGGUCCUGAGCGGGAGAUCCCCCACACUGGUACUGAGACACGGACCAGCAUCCUACGGGAGGCAGCAGUGGGGAAUAUUGGUCAAUGGACGCAAGUCUGAACCAGCCAUGCCGCGUGCAGGAUGACGGUCCUAUGGAUUGUAAACUGCUUUUGUACGAGAAGAAACAACAUUACGUGUAAUGUCUUGACGGUAUCGUAAAAAUAAAGAUCGGCUAACUCCGUGCCAGCCGCCGCCGUAAUAC
rnacentral:rRNA from 1 species